rnacentral:rRNA from 1 species
UGCAGUCGAGCGGAGAUGAGGUGCUUGCACCUUAUCUUAGCGGCGGACGGGUGAGUAAUGCUUAGGAAUCUGCCUAUUAGUAGGGGACAACAUUCCGAAAGGGAUGCUAAUACCGCAUACGUCCUACGGGAGAAAGCAGGGGAUCUUCGGACCUUGCGCUAAUAGAUGAGCCUAAGUCGGAUUAGCUAGUUGGUGGGGUAAAGGCCUACCAAGGCGACGAUCUGUAGCGGGUCUGAGAGGAUGAUCCGCCACACUGGGACUGAGACACGGCCCAGACUCCUACGGGAGGCAGCAGUGGGGAAUAUUGGACAAUGGGGGGAACCCUGAUCCAGCCAUGCCGCGUGUGUGAAGAAGGCCUUAUGGUUGUAAAGCACUUUAAGCGAGGAGGAGGCUACUGAGACUAAUACUCUUGGAUAGUGGACGUUACUCGCAGAAUAAGCACCGGCUAACUCUGUGCCAGCAGCCGCGGUAAU